AGCAAACGAAGCAGGAUAAGAAUAAAAACAUUGACUGUGACAAGGCUUACCUGGAUGAGCUGGUGGAGCUACACAGACGACUGAUGACACUGAGAGAGAGGCACAUACUACAACAGAUCGUGAACCUCAUCGAGGAGACUGGACACUUCCACAUCACAAACACAACUUUUGACUUUGACCUCUGUUCCCUGGACAAAAUCACGGUACGGAAGCUCCAGAGUUACCUGGAAACGUCUGGGACGUCAUGAGGUCUGGGAGCAGCUAUCUGCCACGGGGAAGAACUUUGGAUUCUUCCUCUUAUUAGUUUUUUUACUUGAACUUUCUCUGCGUUGCAAAAAAGACUACCGGCCGGCCCCUGCCCUGGGUCCUUGUGCCUGGCGGUUAUGGUCGCGCCACUCUACUCGUUGGAACCUGGCUCUCCACACGACCAGGGUAGCCCGCGAGCGACACAGACCUGAACGGCGUGUCGCAUCACCCUUGAGAUGAGUCCUGUCGACCAGGAAUAUCACCCAGAAAGCCUUGAAAGAAUUCCACAGUUAACAAAAAAAAACGGGGGAAAGAAACGGAGACCUUGCUCUUAAAACGAAUGUGCAUAUUAUUAUCAUGUAUGUGUGUAUAAUUGUUUUGUUCUUUGUGAUGAAUGAUGCAUGUUCAACACUGCCUUACCACAUUUGUCAGUCUUUAUUUAUUGAGUUUGAGUUUCAGGUGUGCGUGUUAAUAGUAGCAAAACAGAAUUAGUCUUGUGCAAGCACUUCACAAUAUGCAUCUCUCUGGCUCUGGAAGGAUGGUGGAGCAAUGUUGAGAUUUCAAUUAUCUCAUGUGACGGAUCAGUCAAUCGUCCCUCUCUGAGGAAUUCUACCUUCUCAAACAAUAUGUUAUCAGUACCCAAUUGUACAAGCUGGGACCAAUCAUGGACUCACAAUUGUAUUAAUUGCAACAUUUUAUAUUCCAUUCUUGGUACCAAAACUUGAAUUGAUGAUUUGGAUGAUGACUAGGCAAAUUUCAGAAGUGUGCUGCAUGUCGUUUUUACAAGCUCUCGCUUGUAUUCCGCAGCUCUUGCUGUCCACAAGUUGAAACCAAGUGUGUGUGUGUGUGUGUGUGUGUUUGACCAAUCUAUUGUCAGCAGGCCUGUGCUAAAAAUGAACCAUUUUGAAUCCUGGGAUUUUGAUGGAAAAAAUGUACUCAAAGACAUUUAAUCUUAUUUAUUUCACGGGGACCUUGGUUGCCAAAUCAAUCAAAGUUGUGCAUUAGAAUUGAGAAAAAAUAGAACUGAGAGAACAUGUUUUUGUUCAACUUGUUAAGGAGGACAUUUUCCUUUUUGCUAAUCUGAGGAAUUAAAGUUGAUUUGGUUUAGUCUGCCGAGCGACGCCUCAAUGGGAAUACCAGUGGUCGUAGCUACUCACUGGGCCACAAAGGCAGGAUGUUGUGUUUUGCUUGACCCAUGUCUGCCUUAAGUUCUUGUGUUUUCUUAGGACAUACAAUAAAAUGUGUAUUUUGUACAGAUGAGGACAUGUGCAACCUGUGGUGAAAGCAGUUAUUGGCACGGUGUGAUUUUUAAAUGUGUCUUUUUUUGUAUGUUGUUGCAAUGUCUUGUUGAUUGACUCGCAUUUUGUCCUAAUCUCUCCAGUUUAAUUUCUAAGCCCAAAGAUGUUUGUUUUGGUUGGGAUGUCA